rnacentral:rRNA from 1 species
GUAGGGAAUCUUCGGCAAUGGACGAAAGUCUGACCGAGCAACGCCGCGUGAGUGAAGAAGGUUUUCGGAUCGUAAAACUCUGUUGUUAGAGAAGAACAAGGAUGAGAGUAACUGUUCAUCCCUUGACGGUAUCUAACCAGAAAGCCACGGCUAACUACGUGCCAGCAGCCGCGGUAAUACGUAGGUGGCAAGCGUUGUCCGGAUUUAUUGGGCGUAAAGCGAGCGCAGGCGGUUUCUUAAGUCUGAUGUGAAAGCCCCCGGCUCAACCGGGGAGGGUCAUUGGAAACUGGGAGACUUGAGUGCAGAAGAGGAGAGUGGAAUUCCAUGUGUAGCGGUGAAAUGCGUAGAUAUAUGGAGGAACACCAGUGGCGAAGGCGGCUCUCUGGUCUGUAACUGACGCUGAGGCUCGAAAGCGUGGGGAGCAAACAGGAUUAGAAACCCCUGUAGUCC